UCCACCCCUUCCCAGACCUCAUUUAAGGGCUGGAAGUGGAGGUGUGGGUCUGUUGUAGGAGGUCUUUGCAAAACUGUGGUCUUUAGAAGAACCAUCUGCUGGUGUCACCGUUUCUGGUCCCUUGGAAAUGGCCUUGCAGAGCACAAGAGCUUUUUCAGAAUCUGUCUAUUUACUUCUGAAGCUUUUGUGUUGCUCAGGACCCUAAAAUCUCAGAUCCUUAAAUCCUGGGUAGGACUGUAAGCCACCAGAGUGCUGUGAGGAGUGGGUGCCAGCACUGGAGGACAAAGACUGCAGUAGAAGAGGUGGCUGAACAGAGGAUCCAAACUGGCGCUGUUGGUAAAAAAGAAACUGGGAUACUGUAAGGAAGAAUGGCAUGAAAAAAGGCACAUGAGCAUCUGGAAAGGGAGGUUAAGAAGUGUGACCUUACUGUAGGAUGGAAGAAAAAGGCAAUGUCAAGAAGAAGAUGUCUGGAAGAAGGGCACAGUGUGCUGAGAGAAGUGAUUUGAUGCUUGGGCUUGGUCUGGAUGACAGAUGGGAGGCUGCAGUGAGGAAAGAGACACAGAAGGGAGAAGGGGCCAGCAGCAGAGUGAGUGGGACCUUGGGUGGGCAGUAGAGGAGAGGUGAGAGGCAGUACCAUUUGGGGGGGAGGAGGAUGACUGCCAGCUCUCCUGAGUGAUGGGGUGGCAUUGUCAGCAGUGGGGUUGUCAGGGAUGGCAGGUGACAAGGUGUGGGCAAUAUGGAGCAGAAAGAGCUCCUCCCUCACUGUUGAUGUGGGAGGGGUGAGCUCAGUUUUGUUCUCUCAGUGCAGUUCCUCAAAAUCCAGGGCCAUCUGGACAUGGUCCUGUCCCUCACACAAGCUGUUGCCCAGGGAUUACUCUGGCAGCCAUGACUGGCUGGCAUGUCCAGGAGUCUGUGUUCACAGCCAGAAGGGCAGAUGGCACAGGAUUCACUACAGUGGCUUUGCAGCACCUGGUGCCACCAUUUGGGGGUGUGGGGUCUGGUGGAGCCAGGUGAGCCUUGCUGUGUGCACUGCAAUGUCAUUCAAUUGAGUUCCACAGGGCUGCUCUGCCAUGCUGACCCAGCAAGCUCCCAGACACCUUCAGUAUCACUGGUGCAAAUAUUUGGGAUGGGUAUGCUCCUCUCCAGCUGGCUUUGUGGUGUUGGGCUGUGCCAAAGAUCUGCCUGAGGUGAGGGAGGACAGUGGAACUCAGCUGGCAUCACUUCAGCAAUGUGUUUGCAGUGACCAAUGUCUUUGGCUCACUGCCAUUGGUGUUCUGGGUUGCUCAAGAAAUGGGUAUGAAGAAGAGACACUGAAAACUUUGAUCACUCUGCUCACAUGCCUGCACAUUAGGGUUGUUUUGUUCAAGGAAUGUUUUAUUAGCAUUUCACCAUCCCAGUAACAAUGUUUUUUUUUUUUUAAAUAGCAUUUGUGAUAUGGAAUUUGUCAAAAAAUUAAAAUGCU